rnacentral:rRNA from 1 species
AUUAAACGCUGGCGGCAUGCCUUACACAUGCAAGUCGAACGGCAGCACUGGGGCAACCCUGGUGGCGAGUGGCGAACGGGUGAGUAAAGCAUCGGAACGUGCCCUGGAGUGGGGGGAUAACGUAGCGAAAGUUACGCUAAUACCGCAUAUUCUGUGAGCAGGAAAGCAGGGGAUCGCAAGACCUUGCGCUCUGGGAGCGGCCGAUGUCGGAUUAGCUAGUUGGUGGGGUAAAGGCCUACCAAGGCGACGAUCCGUAGCGGGUCUGAGAGGAUGAUCCGCCACACUGGGACUGAGACACGGCCCAGACUCCUACGGGAGGCAGCAGUGGGGAAUUUUGGACAAUGGGCGAAAGCCUGAUCCAGCCAUGCCGCGUGAGUGAAGAAGGCCU